AUUCCAGCACCAUGAACGGGUCGUUUGUACGAUGCAGGGACGCAGGAAGGUAGGGACGCAGGGCUAUGGAAUGUCCUGUGCAAGGUUUCAAGGGUGUGAGCCAGGGAAGUCCGGUUCGCAUGAGCCCGAGGAGUCUGACGAAAAGUCCUGAUCCUACACUGCCGAGAAAAGUGCUAAGGAGAUCCGUUUGUGACCGUACCGCAAACCGACACAGGUAGUCGAGGAGAGAAUCCUCAGGCGUUUGAGAGAACUCUGCUGAAGGAACUCGGCAAAUUAACCCCGUAACUUCGGGAGAAGGGGUACCACGGUAGGGUUUAUAGCCCGAGGUGGUGGCACAUAAACGUCCCAGGCGACUGUUUAACAAAAACACAGGUCUCUGCAAACUCCAAAGAGGAGGUAUAGGGGCUGACGCCUGCCUGGUGCCGGAAGGUCAAGAGGAGCGGUCAGCGCAAGCGAAGCUGCGAAUUUAAGCCCCGGUGAACGGCGGCCGUAACAAUAACGGUCCUAAGGUAGCGAAAUUCCUUGUCGGGUAAGUUCCGACCUGCACGAAUGGCGUAACGAUCUGGGAACUGUCUCCAGCAGAGACUCAGCGAACUUGUAGCACCGGUGAAGAUGCCGGUUACCCGCACUUAGACGGAAAGACCCCGUGCACCUUUACUACACCUUGACAUUGAGGUUGGCAUUGUGCUGUGCAGGAUAGGUGGGAGGCUUUGAAGCUGGCUCGUUAGGGUCGGUGGAGCCAUCGUUGAGAUACCACCCUGCGCAAUGCUGAUCUCUAACUCGCGCCCGUAAUCCGGGUGGAAGACAGUGUCAGGCGGGUAGUUUGACUGGGGCGGUCGCCUCCUAAAGCGUAACGGAGGCGUACAAAGGUUCCCUCAGGCUGUUUGGAAAUCAGCCGCAGAGCGCAAUGGUAUAAGGGAGCUUGACUGCGAGACACACACGUCGAGCAGAUGCGAAAGCAGGUCAUAGUGAUCCGGUGGUUCCGAAUGGAAGGGCCAUCGCUCAACGGAUAAAAGGUACGCCGGGGAUAACAGGCUGAUCUUGCCCAAGAGUUCAUAUCGACGGCAAGGUUUGGCACCUCGAUGUCGACUCAUCGCAUCCUGGGGCUGAAGCAGGUCCCAAGGGUUCGGCUGUUCGCCGAUCAAUAGCGGUACGUGAGUUGGGUUCAGAACGUCGCGAGACAGUUCGGUCCCUAUCUAGUGUGGGCGUAGGAUAUUUGAGAGGACCUGUCCUUAGUACGAGAGGACCGGGAUGGACUGACCUCUGGUGUUCCAGUUGUGUUUCCAAAUGCAAUGCUGGGUAGCUAUGUCGGGAAGUGAGAAGCGCUGAAAGCAUCUAAGCGCGAAACACCCCUCAAGAUGAGAUAUCCCCAUGAGACCCGUUGUAGACGACGACGUUGAUAGGUCGCAUGUGCAAGCGCGGUAACGCGUUCAGCUGAGCGAUACUAAUAGGUCCGAAAAA
rnacentral:rRNA from 1 species